AGGACGAACGCUGGCGGCGUGCUUAACACAUGCAAGUCGAACGGGGAUAUUUAAGGAAGGGUUUCGGCCCGGAAUUGGAUAUUCGAGUGGCGGACGGGUGAGUAACGCGUGAGCAACCUGUCCCAGACAGGGGGAUAACACUUGGAAACAGGUGCUAAUACCGCAUAAGACCACGGCAUCACAUGGUGCAGGAGUAAAAGGUGCAAACCGGUUUGGGGUGGGCUCGCGUCCGAUUAGCCAGUUGGUGAGGUAACGGCCCACCAAAGCGACGAUCGGUAGCCGACCUGAGAGGGUGAUCGGCCACAUUGGAACUGAGAGACGGUCCAAACUCCUACGGGAGGCAGCAGUGGGGAAUAUUGGGCAAUGGGCGAAAGCCUGACCCAGCAACGCCGCGUGAGUGAAGAAGGCUUUCGGGUUGUAAAGCUCUGUUAUAGGGGACGAAGAGCGUGACGGUACCCUAUAAGGAAGCCCCGGCUAACUACGUGCCAGCAGCUGC
rnacentral:rRNA from 1 species